UUCGAUUAAGCCAUGCGAGUCUAAGGGGUACUUGUACCCCUGGCAUAAUGCUCAGUAACACGUGGAUAAUCUACCCUUAGGUGGGGCAUAAACCCGGGAAACUGGGGCUAAUUCCCCAUAGAUACAGAACGCUGGAAUGCCUCUGUAUUCAAAGCUCCGGCGCCUAAGGAUGAGUCUGCGACCUAUCAGGUAGUAGUCAGGGUCACGACCUGACUAGCCAACGACGGGUACGGGGUGUGAGAGCACUUGCCCGGAGAUGGUUUCUGAGACACGAAACCAGGCCCUACGGGGCGCAGCAGGCGCGAAAACUUCGCAAUGCGGGAAACCGUGACGAGGGAACUCCAAGUGUCUAUGCAAUGCAUAGACUGUUUUUCAGCCUAAAUAGCUGUUAGAGUAAGGGGUGGGUAAGACCGGUGCCAGCCGCCGCGGUAACACCGGCACCCCGAGUGGUAGCCACUAUUAUUGGGCCUAAAGCGUUCGUAGCCGGUUUAGUAAAUUCUUGGGUAAAUCGUACAGCUUAACUGUGCGGAUUCCGGGGACACUACUAGACUUGAGACCGGGAGAGAUUAGAGGUACUUGCAGGGGAGCGGUGAAAUGUUGUAAUCCUGCAAGGACCACCAGUGGCGAAGGCGUCUAAUCAUAACGGCUCUGACGGUGAGGAACGAAACCCUGGGGCGCAAACGGGAUUAGAUACCCCGGUAGUCCAGGGCGUAAACGCUGCUGACUUGGUGUUGGAGAUCCUACGAGGGUGUCCAGUGCUGGCGCGAAGGUAUUAAGUCAGCCGCCUGGGGAGUACGGUCGCAAGACUGAAACUUAAAGGAAUUGGCGGGGGAGCACUGCAACGUGUGGAGCGUGCG
rnacentral:rRNA from 1 species